rnacentral:rRNA from 1 species
GAUGAACGCUGGCUACAGGCUUAACACAUGCAAGUCGAGGGGAAACGACGGGGAAGCUUGCUUCCCCGGGCGUCGACCGGCGCACGGGUGAGUAACGCGUAUCCAACCUGCCUCUGACUGAGGGAUAACCCGUCGAAAGUCUGCCUAAUACCUCAUUGCAUCGUCUGCGGGCAUCCAACGACGAUUAAAGAUUUCAUUGGUCAGGGAUGGGGAUGCGUCUGAUUAGCUUGUUGGCGGGGUAACGGCCCACCAAGGCUACGAUCAGUAGGGGGUCUGAGAGGAAGGUCCCCACAUUGGAACUGAGACACGGUCCAAUCUCCUACGGGAGGCAGCAGUGAGGAAUAUUGGUCAAUGGGCGGGAGCCUGAACCAGCCAAGUAGCGUGCAGGAUGACGGCCCUAUGGGUUGUAAACUGCUUUUAUGCGGGGAUAAAGUGAGGGACGUGUCCUUCAUUGAAGGUACCGAAUGAAUAAGGACCGGCUAAUUCCGUG